rnacentral:rRNA from 1 species
CCCUUAGAUGUUCUGGGCUGCACGCGCGCUACACUGACGCACACAACGAGUCUCCUAGCUCGAGAGGGCUGGGUAAUCAUUUGAGAGUGCGUCGUGAUGGGGAUAGAAUAUUGUAAUUAUUACUCUUCAACGAGGAAUUCCUAGUAAGCGCGAGUCAGCAGCUCCUUUGUACACACCGCCCGUCGCUCCUACCGAUGGGGUGAUCCGGUGAAUGAUUCGGACUCUGUAGACUCGCCAUGAGUUUUGACGGAGAAAGUCUUGUGAACCUUAUCACUUGGAGGAAGGAGAANUCGUAACA